rnacentral:rRNA from 1 species
AUUGAACGCUGGCGGCAGGCCUAACACAUGCAAGUCGAACGAGUGGCGGACGGGUGAGUAAUGUCUGGGAAACUGCCUGAUGGAGGGGGAUAACUACUGGAAACGGUAGCUAAUACCGCAUACCAUCGGAUGUGCCCAGAUGGGAUUAGCUAGUAGGUGGGUGAAAGGCUCACCUAGGCGACGAUCCCUAGCUGGUCUGAGAGGAUGACGAGCCACACUGGACCUGAGCCACGGUCCAGCUUCCUACGGGAGGCAGCAGUGGGGAAGAUUGGAAAAUGGGGGCAAGCCUGAUGCAGCCAUGCCGCGUGUAUGAAGAAGGCUUUCGGGUUGUAAAGUACUUUCAUCGGGGAGGCGUGACCCGCAGAAGAAGCACCGGCUAACUCCGUGCCAGCAGCCGCGGUAAUAC